CAACUAAACAACUUUCACUCUCUAUUCUCCGAGGUCAUGACCAGCAAGCUUGCAGCUAAUUCACAAAAUUUACCCUAUUUCAUACAUAUUGCAAUCAAUUAACAAACCUACUUAACAUUUCUAAAGAGACCUCAAAGAGAAAAGAGACCCCUUGUUAUAUCGUGCCUCUGAUCUGUUCUCCUAAAAUAACGCUGAAGCGUUAUCCUCGGUUCUUUCCUUUUAUUUAAACACGUAAACUCUUUUUGUUCACCAAACGAUUAUAGAAAACCCUAGCCGAAUAACACUUCAAAACUCCUACAACUUACAUUCAUCUUAAUUCCUUCUAAAAAUUCCCAGGAUUCGUUCUGUUUCGUCCUAGACGGAGUAGACUCACGCCCCUACAAAUCCCAUCUUUAGUUUCGCCAAACGACUCUUCGACUACUCACGCUCCGGAGUCGAACCAGGGUUAGCUGUUUGCCGAAGUUUCACGUGGAUAAGCAAGCAGUGAGUUUGUAGUGCUAUUUAUCGCUUUAUUAAGUACCUCAAUUUAUUUUAAUAUUAGAAAUGCUUUUGAACUGUUUUAAGCGAUUAUGGAUCUGGAUUGAAACGAGCUACUCGAUAGGCUUGUAUCGAGACUGUGUGCGCCGGUGAGUACUCUGGGAAACGGCAGACUAAGUCUUGCUUACGCUGGUAUAUAUUUAUGACGAGGAUUUGUUCCCGUCCACUCUGGGUUUAUCAGUAUGCUAUGUCAUACUUACGCUGGGAUCAUUUCAAUACUGUUUUCCAUAAUCAUAUUAUAUUAGUAUAAAAUGUUUUGA